GUGAUCAAAACAUGAAUAAGGUCAAAGUUAAGUGAUCAGAUGCGUAGUUUAUCCAUAAACUUUUGCCCUAAUAUGUAUGUCUCUCGUUCGUCGAGGCUUUCAUUCCUGUAGUGAAACCCUACCAAAGAAAGGACAGCCGCUCUCCUCUUCUCUUCACAGUUGUAGUCACAACGAACCAAUCCGUACUAGAUGAGCAACGAUGACAGUUUUUUCUUAUUUUUGGAAGAACAUAGAUCGUUAUGUUGGCAACUGUUGGGAGUUUAGUAUGCACCUUAAACAGAAAAGAAGCAGUGAAUUAGUUUCCGGGAACUAGUUAGAAGCUAAAUGAAAAGGCACAAAUAACAUUUUUUUACCGCAAGCUCAUAGAAGGUUAGUGAGAAUUAUGUGGCAGAUACAGAGGGAUCGAGUUAACAGAAUGAUAAAUAAGUUUUGGUUGUUGCUAGAAGUUGAUUCACUGGUAUAAAAGGUUCUCGGUGCCCAUGCUGCUUCUUUGUGCCUUUUCUUUUAGCUUUUGAUAAGUCUUCGGAAUCAAAUUCCCGGUUUCUUUUCUUGCUACUAAUUGACAUCGAGCUCAAUGGGUUUAUAGAGUUAUCAUAUGGCGACAAUGGUGGUCUGUUCACACCAUAUUGUGCCUUUGUGCUUCAAAUGUUUCACUCUGCUUCCCUCCUAAACCCAAAUUUUCCCCUCAAAUUUCAAAUCAAUAGUUCAUCCAGGUACACUAGAUUCAGGUUUUCUUUUUGAUCUGCUAUUCUUUACUACAUCCACAUCGCAUUUAGAUCUUUACCUGUCAAAGACAAAAUCUUUACCACAUUGAUUUCAUUUCGUUUUCAAUUUCAA